UCUAGUUUUACUGACACAGUUUAUUUUAAUUAUCAAGACAAGUAACUUCUAAAUAAUUUUUCUGAAGAUUAAAAAAAACAAAAACAUUCUUGACAGUGUUACUCUUCAUUCUGUGAAGGUGUCUUUAGUCCACGAAUUUUGUUGACCAUGGCGGGAGACGGGAAAUGAAGCGGGAUGUUCAAGCGAGGGGCAGUCACUUG